ensembl:snRNA U6 U6 spliceosomal RNA
GUGCUUGCUUCAGUAGUACAUAUACUGAAAUCGGAACACUAGCAUGGCCCCUGCACAAGGUUGACAUAAAAAUUCCUGAGCUACACAUUCCCUUG